CUCUUCUGGAGAUCUACUCUUCUGGAGUUUCAUAAGUGAGCCCAGGAUACAGGCUUACCCUUUACAGUGAGGGCAACUGGAGCAGAGCUCUGUGCAAGGCCACUGAUGUUGUAAAGGAUACUGCUCAGCAGGCCAAGCACCAUCUGGAUAAUUGUUUAGAGGUGAUUGGUAUCCAGUUGUGUGGAGCCAAAUACACGUUGUAUUCCUUUGAGAGAAAACAUGAUCCGCAUCAUCUCGUGCGGUGUGUGCUGAACUGGGUGCCCCCAGGGCUGCAGAGCCAAUCAAAGCAAGGAGAAUUUGGUUGCAGCAGGAGCUGAGCUGUGGGAGAGGAGAUUGAUGCAGGCAUCUCCAGCCCUGAUUCCUCAGUAAACUGUGAAUGAAGAAAUAAUUCAAGAAAAAGCAAACCAGCUGAGAGUGAAGCAAUAUUUGGUUAAAAAUCCAGCUGUGGAGGCAUGAGUACCUCAGUGAGCAUUGCCUACUGAGACCGCAUGACCUUGUGGAAGUGGGGUAGAAGUUAUAGGCUCUGCGGUCAGUUCAUAAACCACAGAGCCAAGAGUAGCCAAAUCAGGCUUGAGAUUUCUGCAAGGGCUUCACUGCCAUGCACACGAUGGCAGUGAGGACUAGACAUCAUGGAGCAUCUGGAUGUAGCUCUGCACAGCCUGAUCUAGUGGUUGGUGACCCUGCACAUAGUAGGGAGGUUGAAACUAGAUGAUCUUUAUGGUCCUUUUCAACCCAGGCCAGUCUAUGAUUCUAAGGUUCUAUAAUCUUAGAGAGUGUUGGGAAAGAUCUGGAAGUGCCAACAAGGAGGAUGGCAGUAGACUACAUGGGGCUGGCUUCCUGCAUGGGGGUGUGCAGUGAUACAGAUUCUGUGAGGGACCGAGAGACAUAUAGGGGAGUCUGUAAUUCUUUAUCAGUUUGGCAUAUUCUGCAGUGAGAGAGUCUGCUCUGAAAAUAUGGGCUUUACCAAAACAAAGCAGGACAAAAUUGUUUGUGCAGGUAAUGAAAAGGGUUGAAGAGAGUUUUAAUUAGAUGUUGGUAUAAAUCUAGCUGUAGAAGAGUACAUGGUCUGAGAUGACACCAACUUCAGAGAUGAGAACAUAAAUUCUUUAUCAGAGGGGGUCUGGAUAAAUUAAGGGAGGACAAGUCCCAACAGGGCUAUUAAAUUCCAUGGUCCAGUUCUUCCUGGCGCUGGAAGCAGGGGGUGUAAGCGGGGGAUUUACUAGGGCAUCGUGUCACAUGGUAGAA